AUUAGUCAGAGUUUAUACAUGCAAAAAAA
rnacentral:sRNA from 1 species